UACGUAGGGUCCGAGCGUUGUCCGGAUUUAUUGGGCGUAAAGAGCGUGUAGGCGGUCAGGUAGGUCCGUUGUGAAAACUCGAGGCUCAACCUCGAGACGCCGAUGGAAACCAUCUGACUAGAGUCCGGAAGAGGAGAGUGGAAUUCCUGGUGUAGCGGUGAAAUGCGCAGAUAUCAGGAAGAACACCCGUGGCGAAAGCGGCUCUCUGGAACGGUACUGACGCUGAGACGCGAAAGCGUGGGGAGCGAACAGG
rnacentral:rRNA from 1 species